GAUGAACGCUGGCGGCGUGCCUAAUACAUGCAAGUCGAGCGAAUGGAUUGAGAGCUUGCUCUUAUGAAGUUAGCGGCGGACGGGUGAGUAACACGUGGGUAACCUGCCCAUAAGACUGGGAUAACUCCGGGAAACCGGGGCUAAUACCGGAUAACAUUUUGAACCGCAUGGUUCGAAAUUGAAAGGCGGCUUCGGCUGUCACAUAUGGAUGGACCCGCGUCGCAUUAGCUAGUUGGUGAGGUAACGGCUCACCAAGGCAACGAUGCGUAGCCGACAUGAGAGGGUGAUCGGCCACACUGGGACUGCGACACGGCCCAGACUCCUACGGGAGGCAGCAGUAGGGAAUCUUCCGCAAUGGACGAAAGUCUGACGGAGCAACGCCGCGUGAGUGAUGAAGGCUUUCGGGUCGUAAAACUCUGUUGUUAGGGAAGAACAAGUGCUAGUUGAAUAAGCUGGCACCUUGACGGUACCUAACCAGAAAGCCACGGCUAACUACGUGCCAGCAGCCGCCGUAA
rnacentral:rRNA from 1 species